AAGAUGCAUGACUUCAGCUUUUUAUUUAUUCCUAGGCUCACUGUGAAUCCUAAACCAUGUGAUGCACCUGGGUAUUCUGGCUUUACUGGAAGAUUCAUGGACAGUUAUCAUACUGGUAUGAAGUUUCCAGACAAAUACAUACAUUGCAGCUGUUUUUUGAAUGGGGAAUGUUUUUAUUUUCCAGAAGAUGUCAUUAUAAAGUGAGCUUCUCUGAUCUUUCAACUUUCUGGUAAGUAAUUAAACCAGGCUUUUCCGUUUUCUGUAUGUUUUCUGUAUGAAGCUGCCAUGAACUU
rnacentral:lncRNA from 1 species